UCCUGUUUAGCUCAGCUGGUAGAGCGCGUCACUAGUAUCGGGUUUCCAAGUCCGUGGUUUCCCACGGUCACGUGAUGACGAGGUCAGUCGUUCAAAUCGGCUAACAGGAA